CUCUCUCUCUCUCUCUCUCUCUCUCUCAGGGGUUUUUAAUCUCUAUCUCUCUUUUAACAUGUCUAAGGAUGAGAUACGAGGAUCUCUGCAAUCCGAUGUAUGAUAUGGACAUCAAGGAAGCCUUAGCCACUUGCAUCUCAAGCAUUCAAUGGAUCUCUCCAUAAAGCACGAAUAUCUCCCCGAAGAUCUAUAGGUUGGUGGAUAGUAACAUUCUUACGCUGAUAUAAUUGAAUCUUGUUUGGCUUAUAUUCAUCAAGAAAUAUUUUCUUGAUGCAAUGGUAGAUUUGGAUCAAGUAAUGUUGGGAAUCAGUGCUGGUCCUCUCUUCCUUAGUGACUUUUAUUGCACCACAUUCCUCCUACAUACGACAGCUGGGUGCAAGGUGUAAAUUUCUGGAUCUUGCUCAUAGCCCUUGGUCAUUGGCAAGAGCUCUACAAAUAUAAGGAACAAUAGCUUAUUCGGGUGCUUUAUCGUCCUUUGGAGACAGAAAUUCAGGCUAUGGGUAUUCAGAUCAUCAUAUCCAUAGGGGGAAAGAAAUAAAUGUAUUGGGUUGCACUUAUUGCCAUCAGGACAGCUACAGAGAUCAUGGUUAAAGGAACGGACAUUCAUGGAUUAAGGGAUACUGGUGUGCAGGAUCCAUUUUACUGUUUGGGUCCUGGGAUAUGU